ensembl:lncRNA
GCAGGUGUAAAUAAAGAGUAUUGGACUCAUUAGUCAUACUUGCCCUUCCCUUUCAGUGUUGUCAGGAAACUCUGCCGACUCGCUGUCAGAGGACUCAGAUGUUGAGCAGAGUAAAGUGAAACCAGAAGCAGCAUCUCCUGCAACCACCAUUGUGAUGAAAAAAAACACAAGCAACAGCAAAUCUCCCCGGCCCAAGAAGAUGAACAGCAGCUCCCUGCUCUCAGCGGGACGCAAAAAGGCCUCAGGACAGCCCAAACCUGGUAAACGUGGUGUGCUGAAGCGGCCUUGGUCUGAGGCAGAGCGGGCAGCUGUUGAGACCCACCUGGUGCAAAACAUCAUAGAGCUGCGAGUGCCGGCUAAAGCGGAAUGUGAGCGCUGCCUGGAGCUCUGCCCCCUGCUGGUCACCAACCACCGGGACUGGAGGGCUGUGAAAUUCUACUGCCACAACCGUAUACAGCUGCUCAAGAAAACCCAGCAGAGACAGGGUCCACCCGCCCUGUCCGUCUGCUGAGGCUGUGAUUUAGCACGCUGCUCGGAAGGGUCAGAUGUGUAAGGGAGGGGAUGUGAGGGAAAAUAUUGACAUGGUACAGUCACAGUAAACGCAGUACAAAUGCUUUAAUUAAUAUGAUGUUGUGUGUGAUUUGUGUCCGGUGUGUAAAACGGAAAAUGGUACCAGUCUGGGAAGCAGACGGAAAUGCACACUUGUUGCAAUUUUUCUGUCUGCAGAUGACCAGUAAGUUUUUGUGUUGCUGGCUUAAAUGUAGAUGACCAUUUUUGGCCAGCUGUAAGUCUGAAUGGCUUUGCUCUCUCCCUUUGGCCAUGCCUCUAUCUCUCCAAUGACAGAGAAACAGGCAGACUGAGCAACUUGUGCCUUGAUGGGAGUCAAACUUCAGUUUCAUUCACAUUUGAGAACAUUUUACUGUUAUUUACUAAUUUCAUAAUUUUUGAUGAAAUGAAGGAAUAUGCAUAAGAAAUGGGAUUUAACAAAAGAAGGUCCAUUUUUGCUUACCAUCUUUGCUCAUUAAAAUGUUUUUAAACCAACCUGAAUUGAAACAUUUAAUUUAAAGUUUCUUUGUUCCAUAAAACCCACUUUUGUUCCUACCAUUUUAAGCCUUAUGUGAUUUUAAUUACAUGGUUCUGUUUUCAUUUACAGUAUUCUUGUUGUCAAACCAGUAUGACUUUCCUUGUUCAGUAGAACACUCAGUAGAAAUUUGAAUGAUUUUUGAAUGCUCUUGUCUUUUGCAAUUCCAAAUGCAAAUAAAAAUAUAUGGCAUCAAUCUAGUGCACAGAUUCAUAUGAAUGACAUUUAUGGCGUUUUUGAUGUUUGUGCAUUAUUAAUCGUAAUUACAUGAACAAAAAUGACCAGAACUUUCUUGAGAAUUCCUACUUUUGUGCUCCACGGAAGAAAGUCAUGCAGGUUUGUAAGAACAUGUGAGGGAGGAUUUAUUUUGGGGUUCUUUUAAUUAAUUUCAAUCCAUUGAAGUUAGCGGUUUGGCACUGUAGCUUGUUCAGCAUUGAAAAAUAAGCACCUAUCUGUCCUGUGCGGUAGAAGUGGACAUGAGUGAGCAGAUGAGUUUAGUUCACUUGUUUGCAUUGUAUUCAUCCAUCAAAUCCAUAUGGAAAUUUAAACUGUGUAUUGGAAACACAUGAUAACCACACGUAACACCUCAGUUUAUACUUUUUAUAUAUCUAUCUACUUGGCUGUUUUGUUAUCCUUUGUUCUUUCAAACUUUGCAAUGUAUAUAUGUACACACACAUAUUGUUGUUACUGUUAACAGUGGUAUUGUUAUAAUUAUUAAAUCUUACUGUGGUAAGUGUUCCAUUUCCACUUUAUGUGCAUACUGAAUGUAAAUAUUUGCAGAAAAAAAAGAGCACGAUGUUAAUACACCGUAGGCAAGACAAGCUUGUUUUUGUGUUGUCUGUGCGUUUUUUAAGUUGUC